AUCGCUUCUCGGCCUUUUGGCUAAGAUCAAGUGUAGUAUCUGUUCUUAUCAGUUUAAUAUCUGAUACGUCCCCCAUCGGGGGACUACAUAUUAAAUGGAUUUUUCGAACAGGGAGUCGGAAAUGGGGCUUGCUCCGUCCGCUCCACGCAUCGACCCGGUAGUAUGCAGUACCUCCGGGAACGGUGCAACACUU
rnacentral:snRNA from 1 species